CUCUCUAGUAGCUUAGUGGUAAGAGCACCCGACUGGCAAUCGGAAGACCUGGGUUCGAUUCCCAGCGGGGAGC